GGGGAUAUAGCUCAGCGGCAGAGUGCCUACUUGGCAAGUAUGAGGUCCUGAGUUUGAUCCUCAAUACCA
rnacentral:tRNA from 1 species